UAGGGAAUCUUCCACAAUGGACGCAAGUCUGAUGGAGCAACGCCGCGUGAGUGAAGAAGGUCUUCGGAUCGUAAAGCUCUGUUGUUGGUGAAGAAGGAUAGAGGCAGUAACUGGUCUUUAUUUGACGGUAAUCAACCAGAAAGUCGCGGCUAACUACGUGCCAGCAGCCGCGGUAAUACGUAGGUGGCAAGCGUUGUCCGGAUUUAUUGGGCGUAAAGCGAGCGCAGGCGGAAUGAUAAGUCUGAUGUGAAAGCCCACGGCUCAACCGUGGAACUGCAUCGGAAACUGUCAUUCUUGAGUGCAGAAGAGGAGAGUGGAACUCCAUGUGUAGCGGUGGAAUGCGUAGAUAUAUGGAAGAACACCAGUGGCGAAGGCGGCUCUCUGGUCUGCAACUGACGCUGAGGCUCGAAAGCAUGGGUAGCGAACAGGAUUAGAUACCCUGGUAGUCCAUGCCGUAAACGAUGAGCGCUAGGUGUUGGGGACUUUCCGGUCCUCAGUGCCGCAGCAAACGCAUUAAGCGCUCCGCCUGGGGAGUACGACCGCAAGGUUGAAAC
rnacentral:rRNA from 1 species